UUGACUGGACCGUUUAAGAUAUGC
rnacentral:siRNA from 1 species